rnacentral:rRNA from 1 species
UACGUAGGGGGCAAGCGUUGUCCGGAAUUAUUGGGCGUAAAGAGCGCGUAGGCGGUCCGAUAAGUCGGCUGUGAAAGUCCAGGGCUCAACCCUGGAAAGCCGGCCGAUACUGUCGGACUAGAGUCCGGAAGAGGCAAGUGGAAUUCCCGGCGUAGCGGUGAAAUGCGCAGAUAUCGGGAGGAACACCAAUGGCGAAGGCAGCUUGCUGGGACGGUACUGACGCUGAGGCGCGAAAGCGUGGGGAGCAAACAGG